GUGGUAUCCUGUCUGAAUAUGGGGGGACCAUCCUCCAAGGCUAAAUACUCCUGACUGACCGAUAGUGAACCAGUACCGUGAGGGAAAGGCGAAAAGAACCCCGGCGAGGGGAGUGAAAAAGAACCUGAAACCGUGUACGUACAAGCAGUGGGAGCCUACUUGUUAGGUGACUGCGUACCUUUUGUAUAAUGGGUCAGCGACUUAUAUUCUGUAGCAAGGUUAACCGUAUAGGGGAGCCGCAGGGAAACCGAGUCUUAACUGGGCGUUAAGUUGCAGGGUAUAGACCCGAAACCCGGUGAUCUAGCCAUGGGCAGGUUGAAGGUUGGGUAACACUAACUGGAGGACCGAACCGACUAAUGUUGAAAAAUUAGCGGAUGACUUGUGGCUGGGGGUGAAAGGCCAAUCAAACCGGGAGAUAGCUGGUUCUCCCCGAAAGCUAUUUAGGUAGCGCCUCGUGAACUCAUCUUCGGGGGUAGAGCACUGUUUCGGCUAGGGGGUCAUCCCGACUUACCAACCCGAUGCAAACUACGAAUACCGAAGAAUGUUAUCACGGGAGACACACGGCGGGUGCUAACGUCCGUCGUGAAGAGGGAAACAACCCAGACCGCCAGCUAAGGUCCCAAAGUCAUGGUUAAGUGGGAAACGAUGUGGGAAGGCACAGACAGCCAGGAUGUUGGCUUAGAAGCAGCCAUCAUUUAAAGAAAGCGUAAUAGCUCACUGGUCGAGUCGGCCUGCGCGGAAGAUGUAACGGGGCUAAACCAUG
rnacentral:rRNA from 1 species